rnacentral:rRNA from 1 species
AUGAACGUCUGGCAGAGCAAAGCUGAUGACUACUCGAUAGUUCAGCGUGCCAUGCUUUACAGCUUAGAAUCAGGACUAAAACGACGUUUUGAACGUCAUGCAGCAUAUGAGAUGUUCCAGGAGUUGAAGUUAAUAUUUCAAGCAAAUGCCCGGAUUGAGAGAUAUGAAGUCUCCAAUAAGUUCUACAGCUGCAAGAUGGAGGAGAACAGUUCUGUUAGUGAACAUACACUCAGAAUGUCUGGGUACCACAACCACUUGACUCAACUGGGAGUUAAUCUUCCUGAUGAUAGUGUCAUUGACAGAGUUCUUCAAUCAUUGCCACCAAGCUACAAAAGCUUUGUGAUGAACUAUAAUAUGCAAGGGAUGGAUAAGACAAUUGCCGAGCUCUUCGCAAUGCUAAAAGCUGCGGAGGUAGAAAUCAAGAAGGAGCUCAAGUGUUGA